GUUUCUGUAGUGUAGUGGUUAGCACGUUCGCCUAACACGCCGAAAGGUCCCUGUGUUCGAAACCGGGCAGAAACA
rnacentral:tRNA from 1 species